rnacentral:rRNA from 1 species
GACGAACGCUGGCGGCGUGCCUAAUACAUGCAAGUUGAGCGCUGAAGGUUGGUACUUGUACCAACUGGAUGAGCAGCGAACGGGUGAGUAACGCGUGGGGAAUCUGCCUUUGAGCGGGGGACAACAUUUGGAAACGAAUGCUAAUACCGCAUAAAAACUUUAAACACAAGUUUUAAGUUUGAAAGAUGCAAUUGCAUCACUCAAAGAUGAUCCCGCGUUGUAUUAGCUAGUUGGUGAGGUAAAGGCUCACCAAGGCGAUGAUACAUAGCCGACCUGAGAGGGUGAUCGGCCACAUUGGGACUGAGACACGGCCCAAACUCCUACGGGAGGCAGCAGUAGGGAAUCUUCGGCAAUGGACGAAAGUCUGACCGAGCAACGCCGCGUGAGUGAAGAAGGUUUUCGGAUCGUAAAACUCGGUUGGUAGAGAAGAACGUUGGUGAGAGUGGAAAGCUCAUCAAGUGACGGUAACUACACAGAAAGGGACGGCUAACUACGUG